CUGGAGUGUAACCGCCCCACGUGGGCUCACAUUCCCGGAAGAUGUCUCAGAUCUUUACAGGAGCCACGAGAAAGGGCAAAGUUGGAGCGAGCAGCUGAGCAGAACAUUGAGUUAAGUGCGGGCGCUGAUCCCUGAAAGGCCCGGCUCAGCGAGGGAGAGCAGGGGACCCGGGGUGCAGGACACGGGUCCCAGUAGCAAAACCUUCCAGCCCCGUGGCAGCGCCUUACGGUUCGCCCAGUCAUUAAGAUUCAGCGGGAGGAGCGGAGACUCUGUCUCGAAGAAGCCAGCUGAGACUACACUGUUCAGGCUCAGAUCUGGACGGGAGAGGACUCCCUCCCUUGCCUGGUUUAAGUAACCGAGUUAACUAGCAGUGGCUUCCAGCUUUCCCCGUGACCUCGUGCUCUGUGGACAGAGCCUGACACCCCAAGGCUGGAUGAACCAGUUUCUGCAGCUGGAUGCUGCUAUCUCCCAGGAUCAGCCACGUGAUGUAAAGAAACAGAAGAGAAGGAUCAGAGGCAGCUUUCCCUCAUAUCUGUCAUGCUUUCACUUCUGAGGCUAAACUUGGGCUUUCUGGCACGUGACCUAACCUGAUACCAUGCUCCCUGUGGCCACUCACAGCCAGCUCUGAGGACAUCCUGCCUGGACGUCUCUCUGCCUGGGGUAUUUCUGGCCUCACCCAAGAUAGGAAGAACCUGAAGUCUCCUGAGAGCCUCACCUCUAGAGGUCACCUGUCUGAGUCUGCAGUCACGAGAGAGAGGAGCGUUUGCAAGACGGGGUCAGUGGCUGAACUCGCACCUGCUGAUGGAACUAAGCCGCCGACUCUUCUGAGGGUCACCUUUGCCAUUCACCACCAUUGCCUGGGAAGUUGAUUCUUUUUCCCUCGUGACCUGCUCUGACACCAAAGAGCUCUCUGGUGCCUCCUCUUGGGUCCAGGUGGCCUUUAUCCAAAAAGGCUGGACCAGGGACACUUCUAUUGAACUCCUCCUGUGCAGGUAAAGAACGGCCAUCCCUGUCUUCACUUUUACCACCAUCACUGCCAACAUUCCAGAGCUCCAGUGGCUCCUCUGUCCAUGGGACUUCCCAGGCAAGAAUACUGAGGUUGGGUUGCCAUUUCCUAUUCCAGGGGAUCCUCCCGAACCAGGGAUUGAACCUGCAUUGCUUACAUCUCCUGCAUGAGCAGGGGGGUUCUUUUCCACUAGUGCCACGUGGGACGCCCACCUCUGAUGGUAACUUUGGCUUACCAGCUCUCUGAUGACUCUGCCGAGCUUUUCUCACAUUGAGAAAUGGUCUAGGACCCUUGCUCUGCACAUAUUGUUUCUCUAGAGAAUUCCCACUAAACGCCUGUAUAUCUGUUUGUGAGUUUCCUGUUGUUUCUCUAAGCAAUUGUCACAAAAUUAGUGGCUUAAAAAGACACAAAUGUAUUCUCUUACACUUCUGGAAGUCAGGAGCCCAAUAUGGGUCUCUGGGCUAAAAUCGAAGUAUCACUGGGCUGCAUUCCUUAUGGAGGCUCCAGUGGAGAAUCUACUUCCUUGUCUUUUUCCAGUUGCUGGAAGCCACCUGCAUUUCUUGGCUCAUGGCCCUUUCUUCCAUCUUCAAAGCUGGCAGUGUAGCAUCUUCAGAUCUCUCUGCCUCUGACCUUCCUCCCUCUUUUAAGGAAGGACUCGUUUGAUCAUGUUGGGCCCAUCUGGAUAAUCUCACAUACUCUUCCCAUCUUAGUAUCCUUAAUCACAUCUGCAAAGCAGGGUAAACAUAUUCACAGGUUCUAGGUGUUAGGAGGUGAGUAUCUUUGGGGACCAUUAUUCUGUCUACCAUAAUCUCUUGAUGCCUAAUUCAGGAAUCGGCUAUUCUAGGAAGCCUUCUCUUAGUUAAAAGCAACUACUCAUCCAUAUGAAAUACAUAAUUUUAAUUUUAUCAUAUAUUAUAAUAUUGUGUUAUUUAAUAAAUCACCCAUCACUGCCCUUGUUUUCUUACUUAUGUCCCUUGAAAUAGAUGGUGAGAACCACGGGGUAUAGGGUCAUGUCUUAUUCAAUCUGUAGCCCCCAAGUCGAGCAGAGUGCCUCAGUUUAGGUUUCAAUAAAUACUCACCUGAACUGAAGCAUGCACUUUGUGAUAUGCAGAUUGCAUUUUGACGGGGACAAUCCAGAACACCAUUUGUAGAGUGUCCAAUAUGUAAGACCAACUAGACCGGGGGGGCGCAUAAUACAGGUAGAAAUUUGGGAAGAUAUCACAGUCCAGCCUAAUUUAGAAGGCUGAGUGGAAGCACCAAGGCUGGGAGUGUGAUCCAACGUAGUAUCUUGGGAAAGUAACAAUCUCUUGGAGUUGCUGAAACAUAAAAUUCAAGUAGGAGUAGAGCCUGAAGAUGAGGCUAGAGGGAAGAAAUGGAAAUUCAGGCCAGACUCUUCUACAUUUUACUAAGGAGUUGGGACUUUGUUCUGUAGACAAUUGAGCUUCCCUGAUAACUCAGUUAGUAAAGAAUCUGCCUGCAAUGCAGGAGACCUCGGUUCUAUUCCUGGAUCAGCAAGAUCUGCUGGAGAAGGGAUAGAUUACCCACUCCAGUAUUCUGGCCUGGAGAAUUCCAUGGACUGUAUAGUCCAUGGACUCGCAAAGAGUCGGACACAACUGAGCAACUUUCACUUUCUGUAGGCAACAGAGAGCCAGCAUGUAUUUCUCAGUUGAGUAAUAUGACGGAAUUGUUAUCUCCUGAAUGUGGAGGGUGAGGGAGAAGACAGCAGACUGAAGGCGGGGAGAUUGGGGUGGUUCAUAGGAGGCAGACGUAUGCUCUGGGUCAAGUCUGUGAGAAGCGGGACAGAGGAGCAGACCUCCCGGUUAAACACCGAGGUCAGCAAGGCAGAGACUGUGCACGUUUCAGCUCACCUUUCGUCCUGGCCCCACCGAGCAUCAGUAGGCUCUCAAUGCGCAGGGAUUUGCAAGUAAGUGACAAGACUGAUUUGAGUGAUGUUAAAAAAAAAAAAAAAAAAAGGACCGAUGCAACUGGGUGACUUGGGAACUCCAAAUAAACAUGUUAGACUUAGUCGGCGAGCAUAGCGCGUAGUGCAGGAUCGUGCUAGGAGGGUGGUUUUAACUGGCUGUCCUUUGGCCGUCAGAUGACUGACUCGGGGUGUGUGUGCUGGAGGUGGGCUGGGGGAGGGCAGUGGCCCCUCCCUCUUGGUUUCCAGACACUGGAUCUCCCUGCCUCCUGCCCCUUGACCUUCCAGGCACCUCUCCCCGGCCCCUCCUUGCCAGGCACACCGCUCUGGGCUAAUUCUCGGCUACUCAGGUUUCUAGUCUAGCUUGCCCCAGAGGGCAUCCUGCAUAGCAUUCCUUCUCCAGCCCACUCGGGGAUUCUUAAGUUUAACCUCAUUUCCAUACUCCCAGCAUUUGCCAGCAAAUUCAUUUGGACUCAUUUUGAAUAAGCUCCUGGGUGCUUGGCUCAGACCUUAAAUAUUUCACUUGAUUUGUGUUUGAGAGGGGAGGGGAACCCACAAACAAACAAAAAAUGAUGGCUCUAUAUAAAAUGACAAAUAUUUAUUGGACUUUUCAAAAUGCAUACAAUAAUUCUAAAGGCCUCUGGGAAAAUGUUAAAUUAAAAACUGUGCAGUAAACAACCUGUGAAAUCAACUGCUCUUGGUACAUAAAGGUCUGUUUCUCCCAUUGGUGUGUAUAGGCUUAGACCAUUUGGCCACCACUAUCUUUAUAAAUAGAAAGUGAUGAUGAAACAUUGCAUUUCAGUGAUUCAUAGGCUAAUUAAAAAAAAAAUACACCCUCACCAACAAAAUUCUUUCUUCCCUCUUGCUUCAGUAUGUGAAUUACCUGUCUGUAAUUCAAUCGACUUAGAGAAAUUGAUCUAUGAGGAGAUUUUUAAAUCUAUAGUUUUACCACAAUUGGGAGACUCUGAAUAACAUAAUUGACCAAAUAUAAUUCUCAUCUCUAAGGCUCACCCUUGAUAUGUCAAUAUUUCAGAAAGGAACGAAACCAACAAUUAUUGAGUACCUACUGUGUGCCAGGUUUUGAGCUAAGUGUCUUUUUGAUCCAUUCUUAUUUUAGCUGCAUCUUUGCUGUAGCAAAAUGUAUAUGUAUAUGAUCUCUAUCUUAUAGAUUAGAGAAGGACAGCUCAGGAAAGCUAAGUGCCUUGUGUGGAAUGACCUAAGAAGUGGGCAAAGCAGGAUUCAAGAAUUCAAGCAGAUGUCUGUAACCUGCAGAAGGAAUGGUCAUAGGAAUGAAUGCAGGGACAGUUGUCAGACACCUCACUGGUGAUUUUCUUCCUCUGUCCUGGUUUGCAAAGCAUCAGCUCAGGCACUGCACAUUGCCAGUUAAAUAGAUUCAGAGGUCGGUGUGUGCAAGAGAGGAGCCUCCUCUUCAGCAGGCCACACGUCAACUAUUAUGAUUCCUUGGGAAGUACUGUCUUGUUGCUGAAGUUAGCGGGGAUGCUCUUGCUAUAAGGGGUGAUGUUGGUUUCGGGUUAAGAUGGUGUAUUUAUUUCCUAGGACUGUCUUGGGCUUCCCUGGUAGCUCAGAUGGUAAAGAAUCUGCCUGCAAUGUGGGAGACCUGGGUUCCAUCCCUGGGUUAGGAAGAUGCCCUGGAG